rnacentral:lncRNA from 1 species
UAAAGAGCAAGAACCUAAAGUUUAAAUUUUGACAUCUUUCAGAUAUGACUCAGAAUUUAGAAAAUAAUGACUGGAAAAAAACUCUUGAAUCUAAUGAAGUUCUUGUGACAGAACAAAUUUCAGAUUUCAGAUUUGCAAAGGAACCAUUGUUUUGUGGAUGAAAAGGAAAGAUGCUAGACGAGAUGCUAUUCGUACGCCUGCUCUGCCUUAGGGACCGUGCUGCAUCUUCUUCACACAGACUGGGAACUACUCCAGGUUGUUCUGAGACUCUCUAAUGCAUUGAGAAGCAAACUAACAAAAGAGAAAGAAAAGUAAAGAAAUCAAGGAGAGCACAAAAACAGCAAGAAAACAAGACAGAUAGAAAGAAACAGAGGAAAACAUACGAGAAAGAAAAGACCAGCACCAUAUCUUGCAGCUGAUAGAUAGGUUGGCCAGGCUCUCUAACACUCAAGCUCAGCCCUCUCCUAUUCAACUACAGCCAGCCUCUUUCAACUUUGACAAAGCAGGAAGUGAUUGGAGUAAAAUCUCAAGAAGCCACUUUGUAAGGAUGGAGUGAUCUAAGUACAUGUUACAUUAGUGAAGACUACAGAAAAUGUAGUGAUUCCUCUUUUGCAAAUGGGCUGUUAUGUGGUAUUGAUGUGCUCAUUAUACUCAGGCAGAAUGCAAUUAAACCUUCAAUAGAAAAAUCAUUUUUCCUCUUCACCUCCUCUGAUAGUUAUUUGGGAAUCUACUUCUGUGAUGCCCUUUCAGUAACUUGGAGAAUGAGAUGUUCCUCUGUGAGGACUCACCGAGGCAAAGAGGAGACAUCCAGUCUUCCAGUGCAGCAUCCAACACAAAGGCAGGCUGAUAAUAAGAAUGUUAUGUGGUGUCCUCAUCCAAGGCUCCUCCUCCAUGUCAAAAUGACCAUGAAAGGUAAACAUUUUUGAUUGAUUCAGGACUUCAAGGCUAGCACGAUGGUGCAACUAAAGACAAGAAAAAGAGCUUCUGAUGCUUCCUAAAUUUUCUCCUACCACAAGACCCAGGAAGGGGCGUCUGCCACCUUCUGUCACUUCUGGUCUCACCUGGACUCAUCGUACACAGCAGACGGUCCUGUGAGAAAAAUGUAUCCUUCCACAGAAACCCUCAGGAUCAUUUCUGUGACCUUUUAAAAGUAACUCAGUUUUCAACAGAUUGCAAAAUGUCC